AGUAAAAUGGUGUAUUGGCACGCAAAAUUUUGGUUUUUGAGGAAGUUGGUCGCUUGGCUUUUUACUG
rnacentral:tRNA from 1 species